rnacentral:rRNA from 1 species
AUCAUUAUAGAGUUUUCUAAACUCCCAACCCAUGUGAACUUACCUUUUGUUGCCUCGGCAGAAGUUAUAGGUCUUCUUAUAGCUGCUGCCGGUGGACCAUUAAACUCUUGUUAUUUUAUGUAAUCUGAGCGUCUUAUUUUAAUAAGUCAAAACUUUCAACAACGGAUCUCUUGGUUCUGGCAUCGAUGAAGAACGCAGCGAAAUGCGAUAAGUAAUGUGAAUUGCAGAAUUCAGUGAAUCAUCGAAUCUUUGAACGCACAUUGCGCCCAUUAGUAUUCUAGUGGGCAUGCCUGUUCGAGCGUCAUUUCAACCCUUAAGCCUAGCUUAGUGUUGGGAAUCUACUUCUUUUAUUAGUUGUAGUUCCUGAAAUACAACGGCGGAUUUGUAGUAUCCUCUGAGCGUAGUAAUUUUUUUCUCGCUUUUGUUAGGUGCUAUAACUCCCAGCCGCUAAACCCCCAAUUUUUUGUGGUUGACCUCGGAUCAGGUAGGAAUACCCGCUGAACUUAAGCAUAUCAAUAAGCGGAGGAAAAGAAACCAACAGGGAUUGCCUUAGUAACGGCGAGUGAAGCGGCAACAGCUCAAAUUUGAAAUCUGGCCCUUGGGUCCGAAUUGUAAUUUGUAGAGGAUGAUUUUGGUGCGGUAUCUUCCGAGUUCCUUGGAACAGGACGCCUUAGAGGGUGAGAGCCCCGUACGGUUGAAUGCCUAGCCUCUGUAAAUCUCCUUCGACGAGUCGAGUAGUUUGGGAAUGCUGCUCUAAAUGGGAGGUAAAUUUCUUCUAAAGCUAAAUAUUGGCCAGAGACCGAUAGCGCACAAGUAGAGUGAUCGAAAGAUGAAAAGCACUUUGAAAAGAGGGUUAAAUAGCACGUGAAAUUGUUGAAAGGGAAGGAUUUGUGACCAGACUUUUUCUGGGCGGAUCAUCCGGGGUUCUCUCCGGUGCACUUCGCCCAGUAAAGGCCAGCAUCGGUUUUCGGCGUGGGAUAAAAGCAGUAGGAAUGUGGCUCUCUACGGGGAGUGUUAUAGCCUAUUGUAUAAUACCGCGCUGGGGACCGAGGUUCGCGCU